rnacentral:rRNA from 1 species
AUCCUGGCUCAGAUUGAACGCUGGCGGCAUGCCUUACACAUGCAAGUCGAACGGUAACAGGCCGCAAGGUGCUGACGAGUGGCGAACGGGUGAGUAAUACAUCGGAACGUACCUUAUCGUGGGGGAUAACGCAGCGAAAGCUGUGCUAAUACCGCAUACGCCCUGAGGGGAAAGCGGGGGAUCGAAAGACCUCGCGCGAUUAUAGCGGCCGAUGCCUGAUUAGCUUGUUGGUGGGGUAAAAGCCCACCAAGGCGACGAUCAGUAGCUGGUCUGAGAGGACGAUCAGACACACUGGGACUGAGACACGGCCCAGACUCCUACGGGAGGCAGCAGUGGGGAAUUUUGGACAAUGGGGGAAACCCUGAUCCAGCAAUGCCGCGUGAGUGAAGAAGGCCUUCGGGUUGUAAAGCUCUUUUGUCAGGGAAGAAACACCGGCUCUAACACAGUCCGGGAAUGACGGUACCUGAAGAAUAAGCACCGGCUAACUACGUG